rnacentral:lncRNA from 1 species
AUGCUCCUCAAAGUGGAAUACCAUGGACUUAGAAAGUACCUAAAACUACAGCCUGGAUUUUCAUAUGGAAGUUUCAUUGAAGAAGUCAAGAACGAAUUUGGGAUCCCUCUAUCAAUUGAGUUGCUGUUCCUUGAUGACUCUGAUACUGUGGUGGAUGAAGAAGUAAUCCAUGACAUCCUUGAAGCCAACCCAAACAUAUGUCUGUUGGCCAAAGAUUUUGAAGAAUUUACACCAACAGGUUCUUCUACACCAAACUCUUCAAGAGAUGCUCAGUCGCUUGAUGUAGAAAUGUCAUCUUUGAGCCAGGCACAUCAGUGCAGUGUUGCAGAGGGCGCCCACACUUUUGCCGCAGAUGAUGCUGCAGAAAUGGCCAAAAAGGUGGGAUUUAAAAUUGCCCUCAUUACUAAUCUAAAUCUUCAACUGUC